CACGUAGGGUGCGAGCGUUGUCCGGAAUUAUUGGGCGUAAAGAGCUCGUAGGCGGUGUGUCGCGUCGGCCGUGAAAACCUGCAGCUUAACUGUGGGCCUGCGGUCGAUACGGGCAUCACUGGAGUUCGGCAGGGGAGACUGGAAUUCCUGGUGUAGCGGUGAAAUGCGCAGAUAUCAGGAGGAACACCGGUGGCGAAGGCGGGUCUCUGGGCCGAUACUGACGCUGAGGAGCGAAAGCGUGGGUAGCAAACAGG
rnacentral:rRNA from 1 species